CUCCACAGCUACUGGUCUGGAACUGUUCAGAACUGUAACAGUUGCAGUAUUCCUCUGUGGAAAAGAAACUGUUAACAUGGCAUUAAGCUUCUUCUCAGAUCUUUGGAGAAGGACUUCCUAUGUAACUAACAAUG
rnacentral:snoRNA from 1 species